UAAAUUAUGAAGUUGGACAGAAUAUGCUUUGAUCCUACUUGUAUGUAGGCUGAUAGUAAACUCUUAGUUGUUAUUAUGCUGAUAUAUCAUAAGAUGAAGCUGUCUAAUAUGCUGAUAUAUCAUAUUAUGCUGAAACAUUUUCUAACUCUGUCUAAUAUGCUAUGGGAAACAUUUUCUAUGUAGGUUUUCAAAUGAAUAUUUUUUUAUCCAACUUAGAUAACUUAAAUGAUUGACAUUAUAUUAUGAAGAUGACCACGAGAUGAUACUAAUUUGUAUGCUUAGCUGAUAUAUGAUAAGAUGAUACUAACUCUAACUAAUAUGAUUAUUUUUUAUUUUUAUGUAGGUUUUUGACCGAUUUAUCAUACCAAAGUAUUUUUUUCACGUUUCACGUACUACUGAUUUUUCAUAUGAUAACAAACAUUAUAUAACCUUUUGAAAACCAAACGUGAAUUGAAAUUAUAUCUUUAAUAUAUUAGUUUAGGUGAUGUACAGGGAAUAGAUCGAUGCUUGAGAAUAAAAUAUAAGGAACAACAAACAUUAAUGGUCCAUAGUGACAAUCUUAUUAUUACUCUUGUAAUUUAUGCCCUUUUUAAUAGAGUUUGUUAGGAGGAUUAAGGUGAUGACACGUGAGAAUCAAAACAUAAGUCACAAUUUAAAAAUGUUUCUCAAU
rnacentral:lncRNA from 1 species